UACGUAGGGGGCAAGCGUUGUCCGGAAUCAUUGGGCGUAAAGAGCGUGUAGGCGGCCCGGUAAGUCCGCUGUGAAAGUCCAGGGCUCAACCCUGGGAUGCCGGUGGAUACUGUCGGGCUCGAGUCCGGAAGAGGAGUGUGGAAUUCCUGGUGUAGCGGUGAAAUGCGCAAAUAUCAGGAGGAACACCAAUGGCGAAGGCAGCACUCUGGGACGUGACUGACGCUGAGACGCGAAAGCGUGGGGAGCAAACAGG
rnacentral:rRNA from 1 species